rnacentral:rRNA from 1 species
UACGUAGGUGGCAAGCGUUGUCCGGAUUUAUUGGGCGUAAAGAGCGUGUAGGCGGCCAUACAGGUCCGUUGUGAAAACUCGAGGCUCAACCUCGAGACGUCGACGGAAACCAUCUGGCUAGAGUCCGGAAGAGGAGAGUGGAAUUCCUGGUGUAGCGGUGAAAUGCGCAGAUAUCAGGAAGAACACCCGUGGCGAAGGCGGCUCUCUGGGACGGUACUGACGCUGAGACGCGAAAGCGUGGGGAGCGAACAGGAU